GGGGAUUUAGCUCAGUGGUAGAGCGCUUGCCUAGAGAGCGCAAGGCCCUGGGUUCGGUCCCCAGCUCCG
rfam:Rattus norvegicus chromosome 2, whole genome shotgun sequence.